UACGUAGGGUGCGAGCGUUGUCCGGAAUUAUUGGGCGUAAAGAGCUCGUAGGCGGUGUGUCACGUCGGCCGUGAAAACCUGCAGCUUAACUGUGGGCGUGCGGUCGAUACGGGCAUCACUGGAGUUCGGCAGGGGAGACUGGAAUUCCUGGUGUAGCGGUGAAAUGCGUAGAGAUCAGGAGGAACACCCAUGGCGAAGGCAGCUCUCUGGUCGACCUCUGACGCUGAGACGCGAAAGCGUGGGGGAGCGAACGGG
rnacentral:rRNA from 1 species